AGCAGAACGUGCGCACUUAACUGCUGAGCCACCGGGCCAGCUCCCCUACAUUAGUUUUAAUUCCGUUUCUUCCACAGUGAAUUUCCUUUCAAAUUGCAAUCUUGAUACACGCAUUCAGUAAUUUAGUUCCUUUGUUUAUACUUUUUAAAGAAAACAAAGUUGAUCACCUAAAUGCCUUGUAUUGGUUGGAAACCUUGGGAGGUUCCCAGGUGAAACGUGAAACUGGCCCCAGCACCAGAGGCCAGGAGAGACCCUGGAGCGAGGUCGCCCACCCGAGAUGGGGAGGUGGCAGGUUUAGCCAGCAAGUGAACUCACAGCCCAGCUUGUCUUGUGCGGCCGGCGACAGGGAGCGCUCCACCCUGCCCGCCAGAACCUUGAAGUUAGAGGCCUUCACGGGGUCAGUCGCUGCACCGCCCAGAUGGUCUCAGCACCACAGCCCUCGGGCGCGUCCCUGAUCACGCCUCCAUCGUGGGGCCGUGGGUGGUCAGAGGGUACCUGCCAAGGACCAGGACGGGCUAGGUGAGCAGCCUGAUUGCCUGGACCAGCUCAAAGGUCAACCAGAGGUCACGUCCUCUCCAUGACCUCCAAAUUUUUAUUAACUUCAAUAAACCUAAACUCACGUCCUUCCACAAAUUUAAAAAUGGGUUAAGUUGGGGUGGCAUUCAAACUAGACAGUCCGCGUGAGAACCAGGGAAGAGUGGCUGGACUCGGGGGAGGCUGGGUGUGGGGCUCCCCUGCUGAGCAGUCAGGGCGAAGAGCCGGGGGUCAGGGUGGGCCCUGGGCAGCCCCGCCGUCCCGCCGCCCGGCCCGCGUGCUCCACUAGUAUGAACGGGCGGGCCACCGGGAGGGCGCGGAGGCCUGUCCCCCUCGGUCGCUGUGUCAGUGGACGCGACACAAGGCUUUUCUCUGCCUCUGCGAAGGGGAGCCCCGUGAAGGGCGACCGGAGGGACGCGCCGCUCCCGGACAGGUGGACGCGGGCCUCGGGGGCGUUCGGGCGCGGUGCUCGCGUUCAGAGUGCGCGCGGAAGGGACGGACGUGGCACAGCACUCACACGCAGCAAAGAGCCUCCGCGCACGUCUGAGGCCAACGUCGCGACCGUCAGGAAGAGCAGGGAGGCGGCACCCUGUGUUAUCACAGGGACCAGGAGGACACGGCGGGGGACAGCGCGGCGCGGCCACCCCUCGGUUGGCUUUCCGACUGUCGCGUGAACAGGACGCUAACUCCCAGACCACGAAGGGGCCCACGCCUCGGCUUCCCGAGUGGGAGAGGCCCGGGAAAGGCGGCGGGGCCGGGAGAGGUCAGGAGCUCCUGAAAAGAUGAGGCCAUGCUGGGGUCAGUGCCUGGAGAGCUGUGGCAGGUGACGCAAACGAGUGACAGCCUGGGGAACAUCCUCGCAUAGAAUCACGUGAUUUCCACAUUACGUGUGCAAGAACCAGCCUCGCUUCCAAAAGCUCUGGCUGCACUGGACCACCAUGAGAGCUGAGAAGUAGCCGCCCCCUUGGAGGAGGUUUGUCCUUUCCAGUUGGGCACAGUCUCCACCACUCCCUAUUGUACGUCACCUCACCUGCUUUACUCAGUGUGCCACCAUUUUGUAGGGGCCAGUUAAUCAACUCCCAGUGGAAGUGCCCUUGACCACUGAUAAUCCAGGCCCCCAAACCCAGACCUGGAAUAACUCCCAGUGGUGUCAUUCUUCCCACAACGAAGAGGAUGUUUUUACGCUAUUGAACUGGAAGGUGAUGAGUGUAAUUGUGAAGAUUUGGACUUCGGAGCCAAGCUGUCUGUGUUUGAAUGCAGACUCUGCCUGUCACUCACUAUGUGGUCUCGGGCAAGUCAUUAACACCCUGCACCUCAACGUUCUCGUCUGUUAAAUGGGAUGGUCAGAGGAUUAAGUGAGUAAUAGAUGUACAGUGUGCAGAUGUGCACCUGACACACAGUGAGCGUGCGUGCUCAUUAUUAUGACGUGGCUUUGCUCUGAUUUUUGAACAUUCUCGUCUGGAAUAGGAUUUUGGCUUUACCUUUGCAUGUAACUGAACAUCAUAUUAAAGUGACUUUCCCCAGACUGAAAAAAACCUUCCUUCCAAUGAUGA